CCAAUAGCGUAUAUUAAAGUUGUUGCAGUUAAAAAGCUCGUAGUUGAAUUUCGGGGUUAGUAGGUUGGUCAUGCCUCAGGUAUGCACUGGUCUCACUGAUUCCUCCUUCCUGAUGAGCCGUAAUGCCAUUAAUUUGGUGUUGCGGGGAAUCUGGACUGUUACUUUGAAAAAAUUAGAGUGUUUAAAGCAGGCUAACGCUUGAAUACAUUAGCAUGGAAUAAUGGAAUAGGACGUUCGAUCCUAUUUUGUUGGUUUCUAGGAUUGACGUAAUGAUUAAUAGGGAUAGUUGGGGGCAUUAGUAUUCAAUUGUCAGAGGUGAAAUUCUUGGAUUUAUUGAAGACUAACUACUGCGAAAGCAUUUGCCAAGGAUGUUUUCAUUAAUCAAGAACGAAAGUUAGGGGAUCGAAGACGAUCAGAUACCGUCGUAGUCUUAACCAUAAACUAUGCCGACUAGGGAUCGGAUGAUGUUAAUUUUUUAAUGACUCAUUCGGCGCCUUACG
rnacentral:rRNA from 1 species